rnacentral:rRNA from 1 species
UACGAAGGGGGCUAGCGUUGCUCGGAAUCACUGGGCGUAAAGCGCACGUAGGCGGAUUGCUAAGUCAGGGGUGAAAUCUCGGGGCUUAACUCCGAAACUGCAUUCGAUACUGCCGUGCUUGAGGACUGGAGAGGAGACUGGAAUUUACGGUGUAGCGGUGAAAUGCGUAGAUAUCGUAAGGAAGACCAGUGGCGAAGGCGGGUCUCUGGACAGUUCCUGACGCUGAGGCACGAAGGCCAGGGGAGCAAACGGG